UGACCGUGCUAAGGUAGCAUAAUAAUUUGCCUUCUAAUUAAUGGCUAGUAUGAAUGGACACACGAAAAUUAAACUGUCUCUAAAAUUUUCCUAAAACUUAGUCUUUAAGUGCAGAAACUUAAAUAAAACUAAAGGACAAGAAGACCCUGUAGAGCCUAAAAUUACUAAUUUUUAAAACAAAAUUUAUUUAAAUCUUUUAUAAAAUAUAAAUUUUUAGUUGGGGCAACUAGAAAAUACCCAAAUCUAUUCUAUAACACCCGGUUAACACACCUCACAAUUGAUCCAUUGUUUAUGAUUACCUGCACAGGCUACCUCAGGGAUAACAGACUAAUUCUUCUUAAAAGCCCUAAUUAACAGAAGAGAUUGGCACCUCGAUGUUGGCUUAGGAUCUCCUAAAGGCGCAGAAGCUUUAUAGGUAGGUUUGUUCAACCUUUAAAAUCCUACGUGAUC
rnacentral:rRNA from 1 species